UCCAGUGCUGAGGUUGCGGAAGACGUGCAGGAACAGAGAAAGAGGAGAAAGAGGAAAAAGCAGUCAGGACAUCACUUGUGCGGUGGAUCUGAAAGGGACCGUUGCGCCUCCCGGACGGAGAUCCUCAUUUCAGGAAGGACUGGAUGAGUUCUCAGAGUCUCACCCGGGUCUAGUUCACCAGGCUUUUGAGAAAAGACUCAUUUUGGAAUGCCACCUUCUGUAUACGGAGGAAGCACUGUACAGGAAAACCCACAGCACUUUCUGAAAGAAACCAACCCGGGGCUCAAGGGACCAAGCACGGUAAACAGUCAUUCUUUAUUGAAAUACCUGAAAACAGUGAUGA